rnacentral:misc_RNA from 1 species
AUAAUAUGGCUGGACCCAGUAAAAAGUGGAAGUUUUCUGAUUUGCAAGAGUAGCCAUUCCCUUCACUUUUGAAAAAUUUCUAGACAUAAUCAGGUUUCCCACGGGCACUUUUCUACCUGGCGUUGCUUCAUUUUCAAUUUGAUGUUCCAUGAGUAUUUGUUUGUCCCUUGUUUUUUCUGUUGUCUUCAGAAGUUUGUUUCUUGUCCCACUGGAAGUUGAUUGAUUAUAGUACAUACACAUGCUCAUGCUUGUGUUUAUUAUGUUCAUGAUCCCACAAUCUGCUACGGUUGCCAGGUUCUUUAAUGGGUUUCUUUGUUGAACAUUUUCUCAACCCAUUUCUUGUAGCAAAUCA